rnacentral:rRNA from 1 species
UGGGGAAUAUUGCACAAUGGGCGCAAGCCUGAUGCAGCCAUGCCGCGUGUAUGAAGAAGGCCUUCGGGUUGUAAAGUACUUUCAGCGGGGAGGAAGGCGAUAAGGUUAAUAACCUUGUCUAUUGACGUUACCCGCAGAAGAAGCACCGGCUAACUCCGUGCCAGCAGCCGCGGUAAUACGGAGGGUGCAAGCGUUAAUCGGAAUUACUGGGCGUAAAGCGCACGCAGGCGGUCUGUCAAGUCGGAUGUGAAAUCCCCGGGCUCAACCUGGGAACUGCAUUCGAAACUGGCAGGCUAGAGUCUUGUAGAGGGGGGUAGAAUUCCAGGUGUAGCGGUGAAAUGCGUAGAGAUCUGGAGGAAUACCGGUGGCGAAGGCGGCCCCCUGGACAAAGACUGACGCUCAGGUGCGAAAGCGUGGGGAGCAAACA